rnacentral:tRNA from 1 species
GGGGCUGCUGUUGCGGCCGUUGAGCACCACGCUGCUGGGGCUGGCGUUGGGCGCUCUGGCUGGGCGCCGAGCCCAGCAACUGCA